GAUGAAGAACGUAGCGAAAUGCGAUACUUGGUGUGAAUUGCAGAAUCCCGUGAACCAUCGAGUCUUUGAACGCAAGUUGCGCCCGAAGCCACUAGGCCGAGGGCACGCCUGCCUGGGCGUCACACGCCGUUGCCCCCCCAUCUACUCCUUCGGGAUUGCGGGGGGGCGGAUGAUGGCCUCCCGUGCGCCUAGCCGCGCGGUUGGCAUAAAUACCAAGUCCUCGGCGACGCACGCCACGACAAUCGGUGGUUGCGAAACCUCGGUUGCCCGUCGUGUGCGUUCGUCGCGCAUCGAGGGCUCGAAAAAAUGCUCGGCUCCGGCUGGGCUUUCAACGCGACCCCAGGUCAGGCGGGGUUACCCGCUGAAUUUAAGCAUAUCUAAGCGGAGGA
rnacentral:misc_RNA from 1 species